rnacentral:lncRNA from 1 species
GCACCAAUAGCUCAGGGUCAGAAAAAUACCAGUUUUUGUUGCAUGUUUCUUUUGCGGGCUUGUUCCCCCUUUUCUGCCUUCUUCAUCGAAGUCAUGGUGACGUAUGGCUUUCGUCUUCUUGAUUUCAAGAUGAACACUGUCACUUGCGUGGUCGUGUUCGUGCAUCUUUGUGAGAAUUUUGUCAAAGUGAUGCCUAGAAUCGCUCUAUUCCACCACUAUUUUGUUCCCUGCAUCGUGGGUGAUGCACUUUCCGGGAGAGUUACCUAGAUCCCCAGAAGCGGAAUCAAGAAGAUCUACCCUCAGCUUCUGUACCCCCAGAAGUGGAGGGCAUGCUAGUGUUUGAUUAAGGAGAAACAUAUCCAGUAGUUCUUCAUUCCCCAAAAGGACAAGCUUGAUCACCUCAAAGCCUGGAUCCACCUUAACUUCACGGCAAUAAGUUGAAGAUUGCGGUGACUCACAAUCUCCGUCUUAGGGCUGCCGGGCUCUCUAUGGAAAUGAUAGGACCCAAUAUCCUUUUCCGCCGCAUCGGUCCUCCGCAAGAGCGACAGUACCCUUCUUCAGACUUUAGGAAUGCAGGGGACAUCAUGAGAUUGCAUAUGUGGCCCGACGGGAUCCUGACAGUGGUACAUCACAUGGCCCUCGGCCACCAGCUCUUUUGGCUCGUCUACAAGUUCAACUUCUUGAUUGACUUGGUGCUGAUCUACAAUAACUCCGCCAAGGACUCCAUCCUGGCUAUGGUACUUAUCUACAACACCCAUGGAGUCAGGCCCAUGUUGGAGGUGCUAGCCAAUGUUGUGGUGUUGGAGUGGUUUGGCAACCUAACAGUGAAGCCCAUUUGGAAGGAAGGGGGCCUCGUCCGCAACACCACUAAAGUGGAGCUGCCCCACAUCGCUCAUGGUGUGAUGUAGUUGGGCAGGGAUGAGGCAGUCGGCAGGUCAAGGGCAACGACAACCAAGGACAAGAAGGAUACCGAAGACGAAGAGGUGGAGGACUUCCCUGAAGAUUCUAGUGGAGAGCAGGACUAUGUGUCCAUGUAGGACAUGGAGGACGACGAGACCCGAUUUCUCUGGCUGCUCCACAGAAGCAGUGGACACUCCCGAAGACGGUUACCAGCAAGCGAGUUUGCCCUUCAUCAUCAGGUGGAGAACUUGCCGACAAGAGGGGAGUAGGCAAGGGCUCCCGACAGCAAGUGUUCCGACAACCCACCACUCAAUGGCAGCCGACACAACGUACCCCGACAAGUGGCCUAUCGUCGUCUCUGCUAGAGUCACCAGGCCUUUGCAGUCUGUCGCCGCCCUGGCGGCCAAACAAGCCAGGACGUAGACCCUCCUCCUAUAUGUAGCACCCCCAAGAAGACAUCGGUUUGGGAUCUCUCCGUUCUCAGCAGCACCGAAGAGGAGGAGUAGGUCUUUCUGUGAGCUUCCCAACAAUUUGUGAUUCUCUUGUUGUUAUUAUUGAUAUGAUCCAUACUGGUUAAUGUGGUCCUCACAGCGAGGUGGAAACUUCGACAUAGCGGGUGGCCAAGAAGGCCAAGCUCUUCGUGGGGGCUGAUCCAGCUAUAAGCACUGCAUUGGGCGCUGGUGCCAUGGCGAGCACCCCCAUGUAACACCCAGAAUUUUUAAAUUUGAUUUUUUUUACUUAUAGCCUUUUUUUCGAUUUUUAAUUGGCUUUGACAAAAACUUUGAAGCUCUUUGACAAUCUCUUUAAGAAAACUUUUUAGAGCUUCUUGCUCAACAUGUUUGGUCAACAUGCUCUUCUCUAAAUGAAUUGGUUGGGAAAAUAUUUUAUUCUUUUGGAAAACCUUAGAAUUUGUUCCUAUAGGUUCAAUUAUUUUUUACCUCAAGGUUUCCGUUUCCUCCAUCCUAUUUUUGACCUUUUUACAUUUCUGCAACAUCUUGUUCUUCAUUUUUACUUAUAUACCAAAACUUUAGAAAGGUUGGGCCACCUUUCGUAAAUUAUUAUUAAUAAAAGAAUUUUAUGUAGUCCGUUUUGACCAAAUUUGCAAAGGAACUCAGUGAUUCCUUUGGAGUUUUGGACCCAAACUCCUACCCUUAGAAGACCUUUGUCCCCUCAACCGAUUUCACCAAAAACCUUGGGUUCACAAGUUUGAAAUUGUCAAAUUUGAUUUGACUCAAGUUUGACCAAAAUAUUUUGUUUUUAUUAAAAACUGCCUUAAAUUUUUCUAAAAAUAUGAAAAUUUACACUCUCUCUGCACCCAAUUAGAGGUCAUCUCAUAAAUUUCAGCUCCAAAAACCUUUUCCACGUGCCAAUUUCAUUUAAUCGAGCACCUGGUGUGCAGUAGCCACCAGACCGUGUAACUUUUUCAGUCAAAGUUUAGAGUUUCAGUGCAUCGUUGAUUCAAUCCCCCCCCAGCGUCAAUCUCAGCAGUUUUAGCGGCUGGAUUCCCUCGCCACUGUGCCAGGUUCUUAUACCCACACUGCACGGCUUGGACGCAUGCGUGCAUCCGUGGUGAGAUGGCCCGAGACAGCCAGCUCCGGCAACAGCAUCAGGAGCGGCUGCCGCAGCCACCAGAACCACCCCUACUGCAUCCCCGUACCGUCCGGCACCGCCCUUUGCCCUUGCAAACUCCGCAUGUCCCUGGCCACCAGUGCACGCCACAAUUUCCGUGGCCACAUCCCCAACAACGUAGAGCGCGAAUUGUGCUACCGCCUUCACCAGAGGGAACCGCUCCGUCCAGCCUGGUCCUCCCUCGAUGACCGAGUGACUUUAGGCUCAAAAUGGAAUCCCGAGCAGCGUAGGUACUGACCCGACCCCUAACUCUCCUGAUUAGGCCCCGAGAUCGCCGGAAUUUGUCGCCGGAGAUAAGCUCCGCGACACCCCCUCUCGGCCCUCUAUAAAUAGAGCUCCCCCUGCUGCCGAACCUCCUCAACCUCUCUAGCUCCUUCCCUCCUCACUCCAAAACCGCGCCCAAGCCAGAGAAGGGCCUCGGAGAGGCCUUAUUCCCUAGUUCCGGUCGCCCCGAUCCGCUUCGGGUUCUGGUUGGAUUCGUGUAAGGUGAGCGAAGAGGAACGCCCAGAGCUUGUCAGGAGUCUCCUAGUGGUCCCCUCCUCCUAAGACCCCCUUCAAUUUCGUCGUUGAACCGCCCCUUUGUGAGAUGGAGUGGUGCCCGACACCGUCGUCUGCCGGAGCAAGGCCGCCGUCAACGUGGAGCUUCCUCUCUCCAGCAGCUUGCUCUCUCCCUUUGUCAGUCAUCGCCGGCGACAACCGCACGCCUCUGGAGCCGAUGGAGUUUCGAACCUAACAGGGUGGGACCCCCGUCAGGGUUCUUUCUUUUUUUGAAUCGUUUCAUCAAAGGCGCCUUUUCCUGAAGCAGUUUUCGCUGCGGAUUGGCGCAUAAUCCUUCGGGGAUUUUGAGUUUUCUCAUACUAGCCCCUGGACAAAUUCUGUUUCAUUACAUAUUAGUCCCUGAACUUGUUUUUCCUAUAACUAUUAAACCACAACAGCUUUUGAAUUGAUUCUUUUUGCAAAUUCUUGCUCUGAGGGUCUGGUUUAUUUUCAGAUUUAUUUAAAAAUUAUUUGGAGCCAGUAGCUAGGCCUCAACUCUUACGACGGUAAGUUAUAUGACGUAGAUUCUGACAAAGGAAACACCGACGUUAACUUCACCGAGCUUCGUCCCGACUACGUGGAACGAGGAAAGCAUGUUUGAACUUUGGAUGUGUAGUUUUCUCACUAACAAAAAUUUGAUCCCAUGCUAGUCGAGGUCGGAGCCUCCCUGUCUUGUGGUUUUGCCCUGGCAGGGUAGUCCGGGUGGAGCCGGGCUUCGGGGGGGUAAAAUGGGCGUGUGUUGUUUCUGAGUUUCUGCUUGUAAUGGUUAAGGACGGUUCUUUGACAAGUCAAGUGUCGGUCUGGCAGGGUAGUCCGGGUUAAGGACGGUUAUUGACAAGUUAAGUGUCGGUCUCAGAGUCAGUCUUUGGAGUACAAGUGGUGGAACAAUAAUGGUUGCAAAUAUCUAACGGUAAUUUGGAAAAUUUUAUUAUUAUCUUAUUGGCUCAAAAAUUGUCCUGAAGGUUGGUUGUACCACCCGGAUAUUUAUUAUUUCUUUUCAUGCCCUUACUGUGGUGUUGCUAAGAUGCCCGACUGUGUCUUGCUAAUUAUUUUUUAUGUCGUUUCUGUGGUAUCGCUAAGACGGCCGACUGUGGCUUGUUAUUUAUUUUUUAUGCCCUUUUUGUGGUGUCGCUAAGACGCCCGACUCUGGCUUGUUAAUUAUUUUUUAUGUCGUUUCUGUGGUGUCGCUAAGACGCCCGACUGUGGCUUGCUAUUUAUUUUGUAUGCCCUUUCUGUGGUGUCGCUAAGACGCACGACUCUGGAUUGUUAUUAUUUUUAUGCCUUCUCUGUGGUGUUGCUAAGACGCCCGUUUGUGGCUUGUUAUUUAUUUUAUGCCUUGUAUGAGGCAUCGCUCACACGCUCGGUGCAUUUUAUCUUUUUGUUGGGAUAUCUCGGGAGGAUUACCGCCCGAUCUAUCCACUAACUUAACAUAUUUCUAACACACCCAUUUGAUAAAUUGUGACUUGAACCAUGCAUAUUAAUAAUUGGAUGCAUGCAUCUCAGCUUUUGUGCAAACUGUUUGCGAGUACUUUUUGAAGUACUCACUGGCUUGUUGAUGUGGCCAGAUAUGGAUGAACGAGACCUCAUGGAUGAAGAGUUCGACAACGAGUACGAUGUCUUGAGGAGUCCCAGUCAGUCUUGCGUUGCUGGAGUCUGCUGUUGGAUUAUUUCAUCGCUUCUGCCGCCACGAAUAAAUCAUCAAGCCUCACUCUGAUGCUUGGUGCGUAGUAGUACUUGUUAUGUCACAUUACUCUAAUGUGUCAUGCCCCUUUUAUUACGAACACUAGGGUUAUCACAUUACCAUGUAACAUAUCCAUCUGUGUGAGACUUGGACAAGUUGUAAUAAAUUGUAGAGCAACUUCUGCUCUACCUGUUUAAAAUUAAGUACUACUGGUUUUUUGUAUCAAGAUGAGUCUAUCAAUGCGAAAUACUUUUCUAGACUCGAUAUGCACAUGGAUGAUUUCCAAUAAAU